UACGGAGGGUGCAAGCGUUGUCCGGAAUCACUGGGCGUAAAGGGCGCGUAGGCGGCUCAUGAAGGCUGUGAUGAAAGUCCGGGGCUCAACCUCGGAUCGGCCGUGGCGACUCGUGGGCUGGAGCACUGUAGAGGCGGGUGGAAUUCCGAGUGUAGCGGUGGAAUGCGUAGAGAUCCGGAAGAACACCAGUGGCGAAGGCGGCCCGCUGGGCAGUGGCUGACGCUGAGGCGCGACAGCGUGGGGAGCAAACAGG
rnacentral:rRNA from 1 species